AUCCCGUGGCCCCAAGGAGCCCUGGACGAGAAGAGGAAAGUGCGCCCCCUCCCCGUGGGUGCAGCCCCACAGGUGGAUGGAGCCCCCUCCCAGCCUGCUCCGUGGUUCUCGUUGGGUGAACGAUCCACAUACCACGCCUGGCAGACCUCACCCUGACCUGCUGGAACUUUCUUUGUCUAGCUGUCUCUUCUCUCACUUGGUUCCUGAGGCAGCCCCCGCCCACUUGUCACCCAUUCUGUACACAAUUUCGCGUGAGAUGCUGAAACUUCCCUUGUUCCUAUGCCUAAGCCAGCUCCCUCCCCGACGCCUGCUCCACACCACCGAAUGGGGGAGCCUGGCCUUGUUUCCCCCCCCCCCAACCUGGCAUUAGCCCUGCCUUCAUGCAGGCCUUCGAGAGUUUACAUUUAGGGUCCCUGUGGGUAGCCCCAGCUGCACAGCAUCCUCUCUCAACCUCAGGUUCCUCCUUCGUGAACUGGGUUGGUGGUGUACAGUGACUGAGGUGAACCUGGCUUCCACCGGGACCCUCCUCCUUGGGACAAGGGGGAUGGCCUUCCUGUAGCCUCUGUUUAAAGUCCAAAGAGAGUCUGAGGCAGCCUUGAGCAGAAGCUGGGCCGUGUGGUCCAUGCCCUCUCAGAUCUCCUGUGACUUCCCAGCUCAGUGGAAAAUGCCAGAAGGAGAACCCUUGCCAGGAGGAGGAGGACUGAGAGCCAGGGCUCGCCAGAUCCAGGGAGAAAGGGGCCAGGCCAGGAAGAGGGAGGGACUCAGGUGGGCCAGGCGAAGGGGGACGACCUGGAGGGGCUUCCAGCCUCUGGUCCCUCUGGCUUCCAGUGUCAACUGGACCAGGAAGGAAGUGUCGGGCCAGAGGAGCUAAGCCUUGUGAGGCCGUGUGGGCUGUGAGUCAGGCCCCCAGCCCCUCGGUGGCCGACACCUGUCAUCCCGGCUGCCCUGGAAUUGCCCGGGAAGCAGAGGAGCCCGAAUUAGCAAGUGACAAGGCUCAGCCUUCCCGCCCAGCACUCUGGGCCAGCGCCCCGUGACAGCCAGCGCCACGAGCCCCCCCUGCCUCCUCCACCCCGUGUCACCAUCUUAAGCCCAUCGGGUGAUGCAGGGCCGGGUUUCCAGCGGCUCAGUCCUGGGAGGAGGUGAGGCAGGGGGCGGAGGGGGCUGGAGCAGAAGAAAUAAAGAAGGGAAAGUAGACGUCCCCCCAUUUCCUGCCACAAACCAGCCUCACUGCCGAGGCCUGAGGAUCAGAGACACCGUGCGGCACAGCAAGUCACACUCGCCCCUGGGGGCAGACACUGCACUCACUGAUGACGGUCCCCCCGGGGAGCUCAAGCAGCUCAGACCCUCUGAGCCUCCGCGUCCUCGUCUGUUCCCGGGUGAUGCUGAGGCUGCUGUUCUGGGGACCCCACUUGAAGAACCACUGUCGUACUAAACCAGGAUCCCCACGGCUGCCUGUACCGUCUCCCUAAAGUAAGAAGAUGAUCAUGUUGCCUCCAUGUUCCCCCAUCCGUCACCUCAGGAUGAAACACAGGCCCUACUCAAAGGGUCAAGCCGACGCCCUUUGUGACCUCACAGCUCCUGGCUUCCACACUCCCUUCCCUCAGGCUUCACGGAGCUGCUGGAAGCUCCCGGAGCGGGUGGAGGCUUCUCAGAGGCUCAGAGGCCCUUCUGUCUCACCCAACCCCCAAUGAACUGCCUCCUACCCUCCUACAAAUCUUGGUGGAGCAUUGCCUCCUCCAGGAAGCCCACCUUGACUGUACUGGGAGCCAUCCUCCAGGCUCCACAGCCCCUGUGUGUCCCUCUUUUGCUGCACGUAACCCACAACAUUGGAGUCCUCUCUCUCCUAGUUUCGAGAAACUUGAGUGUUGACGCCAGGUCUUACUCAUUUCAUGUCCUCGGUGGCCGGCACAGGGCCGUACACCAAUAGGCGAUCAAUAAACGCUCACUGGACAAAUGAAUGGACAAAUGGACGACACAGAGAGGAGUCUUCUGACCAAAGACAGUGGCAGAAACUGCCUGUAGGGCUCAGGGGGGACCCUUGCUUCUCCCCGGGGCCCUGAAAUAAGGCAGGGGAGCUCCCGGCUGAGGGGUAGGGAAGCGUCCUGUUCGAGUUCUUGGCACCCAGGGGCCCCCGGGGACAGGCAGCCACAGCCGCCCACUGACCUCACCGCGGGGGCUGACGGGCUCUCCUGCCCGUGAUGUGCUCAGACAUACAUAAAAACAACAGCUGGGCAGCUGGGCCUUUGUUGGUGUUAAACUUAGCCCCUCGGAGGUCACCCUGAACCAUGACACCCCCUCCACCCCAUGUCCAAGCUGGGGCCGGGCAGGUGCCAACACAGAUAGAGGGCCUUGACGGUGCCAACCCAGAGGGCCUUGACGCCUGGCGAACGCCCAGCCUCCCUGCCACCUCCCCCCACCACCGGCUCCAAUUCUCUCCGAGCCCCAACCCCCCGCAGCCUGCAGCCCUCUCUCUCCGUUGCUCUCGCACUCCUGCCCCUGCUCCAGGGCUGCGCUGCAGGAGCCUCGGGGAGGAAGCGGCCAGGAAGGGGCCUUCUCCAUCGGAGGUUCCAAGGAAGUUCCUCCAAGACCCCGGCCAGGGUGAGAAAACUCUCCAAAACUCCGAGGCUGGGCUGAACCUCCUCCUGAGGAUGCCCAAGGUGCAGCGUUACAACAUCGUGCCCAGAUGAGAGGUCCACUCUGACGAAACAGACAAUGAGAUGCCGCUGACGGGCUCCAGGUUCCACGCAGCCGCCAAACUUUAAGAAACUCCCACCUGGCGAGUCUUGACCUAGAACCCGAGAAGAAUGUCCGCAACCCUCUGGAAGGCUGUGAAAACGCUCCUCUCUUUUCUGACUACAUACCUGUGUGAGGCUGGAUAUCUUCUGUGUCCUCCCACCAAGGUGCGUUACGACAGAUCGGCUGCAGAGGCAGGUAUGAGAGUCCAGCUGACUCCUAGCAAACCAGAUGUCCAAGAGAUUCAUAAAAACGUAAAACAAUGCCACUCUUAUUAGGUACUUUUAUUUCAUAAUUUUAUUAUGAGACAUUUUAUUUAUAAUAAAUCAUAGUUUUCUUUAUUUUUAUUUAUGUUUGUAUUAUUUAUAACAUUGUAUUUAUAAAAGUAUUUUAUUCAUAUUAACACGUAAGACGGGCCUAUGAUUAUAAUUAUUAAAUGAAUUAAUAUUUUAAAAAUUUCUCAGUUUUCAUUUCUGAUAAGGUAUUUAUUGACACCUCUGACUGACUUAAAAAGUCUUUAGGGUCCUCAGUAAAGAGUGUAAAAAAGUCUUGAGCCCCCAAAUUUGAGAACCACUAUUUCUGGUUUUCGUGGUUGAUUAUCAUUAUUAUUGUCCUGACUCACUUAUGUUAUCUAUCAAAUAAAGUAAAAAACAAAAGCGAUCAAGAAAAAAUGAAGCAUGAUUUUUAAUUCUGUCAAGUGACAGCCGGUAACAGGAAUCAAUCAAGAAAUUCUUAACACCCUGUUGAGUGCGGGAGACGCCACCGCCAGGGAGCUCCGAGGAUUUCACGGGCUUAAUAAAAUGUCCCUAAAAUGACAAGUUAGGGAUGUUUUCAAAAUGAACUGCGUGGAACAGUUUGAGCGGGCAGCUGUGAGUUGUGGUUCAGUCCUUCUCUCCGUAUCUUUGUGAGAAAACUCCGGCUUUGACAGGCGGCCUCCGGGAGCCCAGGUCAGAUCCCAGGAGCUGGGGAUGCAGGUCUCCCCCUCACCACCAGAGGGAGCAUUGGUGCAGGGCUGGAGCAAACGCAGCCGAUCUGACAGCAGUGCUGUGUGACACACAGGCUAUAACCCGAUGCAGCUGUUUGAAAAUGGGUGUCUUUCUUAAGGUGCAAAACAUCAUGAUGCGAUAUUUGUACACAUCGCAAACCAAUCACCACGAUGAGUCUCGUUAACAGCCAUCACCACACCUGGUCACACACUUUUUUCUUGUGAUGAGAACUUUAAAGAUCUACUCUCUUACAGUAGAUCAUUAUUAAUCAGUAUAAUGAAUACUUAUUAUUGAUAGCAAUUUGUGCAAUGCUCCCAGCAGAGCCCUGCCCACAUUUAGCAAUCAAUAAAAUUCUCUUUUUUUCCAGC
rnacentral:lncRNA from 1 species